GUGCUCACUUCAACAGCAUAGAUACUAAAACUAGAACAAUGCAGAAUAAAUUAGCAUUGCCUGUUGCAUGAGGAUAACAUGCAAAUUUGUAAAGCAAUCUAUAUUUCU